rnacentral:rRNA from 1 species
UACGUAGGUGGCAAGCGUUAUCCGGAAUUAUUGGGCGUAAAGAGCGCGCAGGUGGUUAAUUAAGUCUGAUGUGAAAGCCCACGGCUUAACCGUGGAGGGUCAUUGGAAACUGGUUGACUUGAGUGCAGAAGAGGGAAGUGGAAUUCCAUGUGUAGCGGUGAAAUGCGUAGAGAUAUGGAGGAACACCAGUGGCGAAGGCGGCUUCCUGGUCUGCAACUGACACUGAGGCGCGAAAGCGUGGGGAG